UACGGGGGGGGCAAGCGUUGUUCGGAAUUACUGGGCGUAAAGGGUUCGUAGGUGGCCAACUCAGUCAGACGUGAAAUCCCUCAGCUUAACUGGGGAACUGCGUCUGAUACUGGAUGGCUCGAGUGCAGGAGAGGAACGCGGAAUCCCAGGUGUAGCGGUGAAAUGCGUAGAUAUCUGGAGGAACACCGGUGGCGAAGGCGGCGUUCUGGACUGUAACUGACACUGAGGAACGAAAGCCAGGGGAGCAAACGGG
rnacentral:rRNA from 1 species